UGUGCAGCAGCUAUUGCAAUGGAGAAUGGCAAAGGUGGAGUUGGGGGAACUGUUCAGUUUUCGUGUUCUGUGUCGUGGUAGAUUUAUUUGCUGCAAGUUCUACGCACACAGGACGACAUACCACAGAAGAGAAGCGAACGUAACAUCCAUCCACCGACUGGAACUAACACGAACAGUCCAAGAUCUACACGUGCUUAAAUCAGCUUUGUUAGCAUAAGCGCCUAAAGAAGUUUUAUUUGAAUUAUAUCACCGUUCGACACAUGGUGACGCCGAACUUUGUGCGUGUGUAACAACUGUGAUGUGAUCUUGUGGCAGCCAUUGUGAUUCGCAUGUGGACUUGAAGUUAUUUGCUGUGGACGAUUUACAUCCCUCACCAUCGGUUCGACCCGAGUCUAUAUAAGAAGAAGCAAGCAGUAAUUGAGAGUUGAGCUGAGGGUACAGCUGUGGACUGUUAACCACCAGACAACGGAAGCUGAAGAACCUCCAUUGCUGAGAUUUGUUACCUGAAAGUCUAGUGAAGACACUGCGGAGGAAUAGCCGUUGUACCAAGUAAAGACUAGUGGAAAUAUACUGAUAAAACUUAGUGUUGAGUGAUUUAUAGUGUGGAACUCGGUAGUAUUGUAAUAAUUAUUCGUAGUUACGACUUGCAAGUGGUCAAUAAAUCUAUUCAGCAAUCCAAACCCCGUCUAUAGUCACUAAUACACGUGACAAUAUUAUCACACCGAUUAGAUGAUAAGGGUAAAAUUAAUGUUAAAUCGACAAGCCUCGCUGAAAACCUGAAUCUGCUGGAAGGUCGAGAGUUUAAACCCCAACACUGUUUCAUAUAUAUAUGUAAAAUGUUUAAUAAUGUGGUUUCCCUCUCAGGAAGUGGACAUGAUACACCAGAGAGAAGCAGAAGACUUAAAACUGAGUUUAUGUAACUUCAUCGCUGUUUAAGGUCAAGUUUUGAGAUUAGAAACUUUGAAAUUGUAAAAUAGUUGUGCCCUAUUUGUUGGCUUAUCUGGAAUAUAACACUGUGUAAUCCUUUGAAAGUCAACACGGCGCUAUACCCCAGAAAAUAGAAUUCUUCAUAACCACCGCUGUGACGCCAUUAAACCAUUCGUUUCGUUAUUGUUUUGUUGAAGCCGUCAAA